GAUGAACGCUAGCGACAGGCUUAACACAUGCAAGUCGAGGGGCAGCGUGGUGUGGCAACACACUGACGGCGACCGGCGCACGGGUGAGUAACGCGUAUGCAACUUGCCUAUCAGAGGGGGAUAACCCGUCGAAAGACGGACUAAUACCGCAUGAAACAGGGGUCCCGCAUGGGGAUAUUUGUUAAAGAUUACAUCGCUGAUAGAUAGGCAUGCGUUCCAUUAGGUAGUUGGUGGGCAACGGCCCACCAAGCCGACGAUGGAUAGGGGUUCUGAGAGGAAGGUCCCCCACACUGGUACUGAGACACGGACCAGACUCCUACGGGAGGCAGCAGUGAGGAAUAUUGGUCAAUGGGCGAGAGCCUGAACCAGCCAAGUCGCGUGAGGGACGAAGGCCCUACGGGUUGUAAACCUCUUUUAUAAGGGAAUAAAGGACAUCACGUGUGGUGUUUUGCAUGUACCUUAUGAAUAAGCAUCGGCUAACUCCGUGCCAGCAGCCGCGU
rnacentral:rRNA from 1 species